CACGUAGGGGGCGAGCGUUGUCCGGAUUUAUUGGGCGGAAAGAGCUCGUAGGCGGCUCGGUAAGUGAGGUGUGAAAACUCCAGGCUCAACCUGGAGACGCCACCUCAUACUGCUGUGGCUAGAGUCCGGUAGGGGAGCAUGGAAUUCCUGGUGUAGCGGUGAAAUGCGCAGAUAUCAGGAGGAACACCAGUGGCGAAGGCGGUGCUCUGGGCCGGAACUGACGCUGAGGAGCGAAAGCGUGGGGAGCAAACAGG
rnacentral:rRNA from 1 species